rnacentral:rRNA from 1 species
AUACGGAGGGUGCAAGCGUUACUCGGAAUCACUGGGCGUAAAGCGCGCGCAGGCGGCUAUUUAAGUUGGAUGUGAAAGCCUACGGCUCAACCGUAGAACUGCAUCCAAAACUAUUUAGCUAGAGUGUGGGAGAGGAAGAUGGAAUUAGUUGUGUAGGGGUAAAAUCCGUAGAGAUAACUAGGAAUACCAAAAGCGAAGACGAUCUUCUGGAACAGUACUGACGCUGAGGCGCGAAAGCGUGGGGAGCAAACAGGAUUAGAAACCCUAGUAGUCC